GUGGCGAACGGGUGAGUAAUAUAUCGGAACGUACCCAGAAGUGGGGGAUAGCGUAGCGAAAGUUACGCUAAUACCGCAUACGAUCUACGGAUGAAAGUGGGGGACCUUCGGGCCUCAUGCUUUUGGAGCGGCCGAUAUCUGAUUAGCUAGUUGGUGAGGUAAAGGCUCACCAAGGCAACGAUCAGUAGCUGGUCUGAGAGGACGACCAGCCACACUGGAACUGAGACACGGUCCAGACUCCUACGGGAGGCAGCAGUGGGGAAUUUUGGACAAUGGGCGCAAGCCUGAUCCAGCAAUGCCGCGUGAGUGAAGAAGGCCUUCGGGUUGUAAAGCUCUUUUGUCAGGGAAGAAACGGCUGCGGCUAAUAUCUGCGGCUAAUGACG
rnacentral:rRNA from 1 species